rnacentral:piRNA from 1 species
UAGUAGACAUCCCUGGAUAGC